rnacentral:lncRNA from 1 species
CUCAAACUUGCUAUGUAGACCAGGCUGGCCUGAAACUCACAGAGAUCCACCUGUCUCUGCCUGUCUCCCACGUGCUGGGAUUAAAGGCAUCCAUCACCAAGCCCAACCUGAAAUAUCUCAAUACUCCUAAGGACACAGAGCAGCUUCUGGGAGUGCAGCCUGGAGGCCACAGCCUUCUGAUGCUUCUCCACCUCCAAGCCGUUGCUCAUGUCCUGCCUUCAGGAGUCUAAGUGAGAAACCACUAUAUUGGAUCAAAGACCUCUUGUUCUGUCUCUGUCUCUGUCUGUCUCUCUCUCUCUCCUCUCUCUCCAUCUCCCCCUCCACCCCCUCCUCUUCACCCCAUGUCUCCACAGAGACCCUCAGAGUGUCCAGUGUCCAGUCACUGCUGUUACUGGAGGCUUCCCAGUGCACUUCAUCAGACUAACAGGGACUGACCCUGAGGGCCCUGAGUUUUGGCACUAAAAGCCUCGCAGCCGGCUCAUCAUCCCCAUCACAGAAAGCACUGUGCCUGAGCUGAGCUUAAGGCCCACACAGAAGGAAGCUGACCCAAAGAGAGCAGGACAGAGCUCUGGAACACCUGGACUCAGCCCCGUCUGCAGCCCACAGGCCCAGGCUCCCUCCUCCAGAAGUUCAUGGGACACCACUUAAUUUAAGCCCUUUUGUAACGUUCCUGCUCAGUGACCUCCCUCCUUUAUUCCUGUGGUGGAAGGAUGGGUGAGAUGUGGUGACUGUCAUUCUCAUCCACCAUGACAUUGAGCAGAAAAAUCCUUCCUCAAAGCGAAGGACUCUGACCUCAGGAUGGAGGUGAACAGAGAUGAGCCUGAUAGCCUGGAGCCACAGCACCCACUGGGCAUUCAGCACGGAGAGAGAGCAGGAGUCCCGGCUGAGACACCCCUCCCUUGGAGAUUUACCCUUCCGCGUCUGCCCAUCCGCACAGUCCGAGGAUGUCAAGAGCUGGAAGGGACCUGUGACUAGGCCCACCCUGUGUGUGGUUAAACUGCAAUCCCAGUAGGGAAUUGAACUUUUGUCACAUGGUGACCAUGAAUUGUUUCCUGCCCAAGCAGGCUCAGAGCUCCAGCCUUCCCAUCAGCCCCCUGGACCCUGGACCCUGGACAUGCUGCAGGCCUCUGUGGUGGCCGGAGGGCUGAUCUGUUGCUUCUGGAUAUGCCAUGUGGACAUGAUCUGCACUGCCACACAAAUGCCUGAAAGCUGAGCCAGGACACCAAGACAGCUGCCGUUCCUGAUCUGUUGGCCACACAGGGAAGGAGAGUGGCAGGCCAGGUCUGUCCCCUGCCGACUGCUCCCUCGGUGCCAGCUGCAGAGCCAGAAACGCUAAGGAACCCUCCAGUCAUGUACAGUCAAGUCACAUGCUAGGGUGACCCUCCAUCAGUCUGACCUCACUGCCCAAGGUCUUAAUGCCUGCAUCCAGGGAGACAGAUCCCAAUGACAACUGGGGCCAGGCAUGAGGCAGGUGGCUGGCUGGAGGGUCCUGUGAGGACAGAGAGAGAGCUCUGCUGAUCUCCACACCAUCCAGGACAACCUGUUCAAGGCAAAUUCCUGGGAGCUUUCAGUUUUUUCAAAAGAAGCUGG